UGAAGGGGUGUGGAGUGACAGGUGUUCGUUCCCAGACAGGUGACGUGGACGCCGCCGCCAUGUUGCCACUCCAAGUCUCCUCUGCACCUGGCCGCCAUCUUGGUACACCUCGUGACGUCAUUGGCCGCCAUGUUCGAUUUUGGCAUUGUGCGUCACGGGACAGGUGUGAAGAUGUGGUGGCGUUACCUGUUGUCUCCCUGCACCGGUAACACCACUACCCUGCCUCGCCUCGCCACCGCUGGAGAGGACGU